rnacentral:lncRNA from 10 species
GGCAGGGGAGACUUAAGUCUUGAACAAUGGAUGAAGAUGCCUUCAGUGUAUCCCAUUGUUUACUUUUUACUAUUUUUUUUUUUUAGCUUCAUCUCUUCAAUCACUUUCUGGGAAUAUGCUCAAGUUUACUUCAAGCAAUCGAUUAGAUACUGUUGAAGCAUUGUCCUUUGAGAAUGGGCCACUGCUUUUUAUAUCAGGGUCACAGUUCACUGUCAAGUCAAGGAGAAGCGUGUAUUUAGAGCAACACUAAUGAUUCUGGCCACUAACUGGGAAUUUGAUCUUCUGGGCUCUUCUCCCAGCUCUCCCACGGUGUGAUUUUAAACUAGAUUGAGCUCUUGUUUAUCCAACUGUAAAAUACAGGUAAUACAGUCCUACCUCACAAGGACUGAGAAAGAAUACUGUUAUGUAUAGUGCUUUAUGGCCUACAGAUGGAAGGUAUAAUCAGUGACAACUUCAUCAUUUUGAAAGUGUUUUCAGAUUCAUCUUGUCCUCCCCUUUCUCUUGACAUCAGUGCUAUCCUAGAGGUGAUGGUGUAAGAAUAUGCCAUCCUUGAACAUGCAUGGAAUUUCAGAAAUUCUUAUGUAAAAUGGUAAAAGGUAUAGUUUUUCUCCAAUACCAGGAAAGUGUAUGUUUUGAUACAAUCUUAAUUACCUUUGAGUAUGUGAAAAAUAAUUUUUAGAAAUUUUCCAUAGCCACAGAAAAUACAAA